GGGGGGGGGGGGGGGGGGGGGGGGGGGGGGGGGGGGGGGGGGGGGGGGGGGGCGGGGGGCGGGGGGCGGCGGCGGGCGGGUGGGUGGGGGCUGGGAAGCGGCCUGGGAGGGGGGGGUGACGUCCGGAGAGGGGCGCGAAUACCGCAUGCGUCCUGAGGGAGAGAGUGGGGGAUGUUCGGACCUCACGCUAUCAGAUGAGCCUAGGUCGGAUUAGCUAGUUGGUGGGGUAAAGGCCUACCAAGGCGACGUUCCGUAACUGGUCUGAGAGGAUGAUCAGUGACACUGGAGCUGUGACACGGUCCAGACUCCUACGGGAGGCAGCAGUGGGGAAUAUUGGACAAUGGGCGAAAGCCUGAGCCAGCCAUGCCGCGUGUGUGAAGAAGGUCUUCGGAUUGUAAAGCACUUUAAGUUGGGAGGAAGGGCAGUAAGUUAAUUCCUUGCUGUUUUGACGUUACCAACAGAAUAAGCACCGGCUAACUUCGU
rnacentral:rRNA from 1 species